GAGCAGCACAGCCCAGGAGCAAGCCAGGAGCACUGCAGCCCUUCAUAAAGACCUGCAAGCUGCUGCCUCGGGCUCUGGUUUCCUUCUCUCUCUCCCCUUGAGCUCACUCUGUCUCAAAGCAGGGCAGUACCCAGCGCCAAGGCAGAUGUUCACCCCCAGGAGGUCAGCCAGAGCUCACCUUGCCAUCCCCACCUGUGCUGGAGACUGUUCUCAGCGUAGCUGCACUCAGCGGAGUAGCCUUCCCCAUCGGGAGCCUUCCAGCCCAUGGCACACUCCUGCUGCUGCGUGUCUGAGGGGCAGCCAGCACUGAGCACACCUU